rnacentral:rRNA from 1 species
GCCCAAUAGCUAGCCCCCCAAAACCAAAAACAAUUAACCACCAUUAAUAACCCCAAACACACUAGUGUUAAACUAAACAAAACAUUUUUCCACCUCAGUACGGGCGACGGAAGAGGAACAAACGGCGCAAUAGAGAAAGUACCGCAAGGGAACGCUGAAAGAGAAAUGAAAUAACUCAGUAAAGCCCUAAGAAGCAGAGAUUUUAACUCGUACCUUUUGCAUCAUGAUUUAGCUAGUAAUACCCAGGCGAAGAGAACUUUAGUCUGACUCCCCGAAACUAAGUGAGCUACUCCAAGGCAGCCUAUUAAUAGGGCACACCCGUCUCUGUGGCAAAAGAGUGGGAAGAACUUUGAGUAGAGGUGACAGACCUACCGAACUUAGUUAUAGCUGGUUGUCUGAGAAAUGAAUAGGAGUUCAGCCUCCCGGCUUCUUUACUCACCCCUGUCCUACUCCCUACAGACCUUUUAAGAAACCGCGAGAGUUAGUCAAAGGGGGUACAGCCCCUUUGAAAAAGAUACAACUUUCCCAGGUGGGUAAAGAUCAUAAUAACCUAAAGUAAAAUGCUUUGGUGGGCCUAAAAGCAGCCAUCCCCUUAGAAAGCGUUAAAGCUCAGGCAUAUCAUUUACCUCAUUAUUCUGAUAAUUCAUCUCAGCCCCCUAAUUUUACCAGACCGCCCCAUGCAACCAUGGGACAGACCAUGCUAAUAUGAGUAAUAAGAGGGCCAGGCCCUCUCCCUGCACACGUGUAAAUCGGAACAGACCAACCACCGAACCCUAACGGCCCCAAAUAAAGAGGGUAAUGAAUGACAGACCAAACAACAAGAAGAGUCUUCAACUUUUGACCGUUAACCCCACACUGGUGUGCCCCCCGGGAAAGACUAAAAGAAAAAGAAGGAACUCGGCAAACACAUGAAGCCUCGCCUGUUUACCAAAAACAUCGCCUCUUGCAAAUAAAGAAUAAGAGGUCCCGCCUGCCCUGUGACUAUAAGUUUAACGGCCGCGGUAUUUUGACCGUGCGAAGGUAGCGCAAUCACUUGUCUUUUAAAUGAAGACCUGUAUGAAUGGCAUAACGAGGGCUUAGCUGUCUCCUUUUUCAAGUCAAUGAAAUUGAUCUCCCCGUGCAGAAGCGGGGAUAAAACCAUAAGACGAGAAGACCCUGUGGAGCUUUAGACACCAAGGUAAAUCAUGUUAAACAUCCCUGGACAAAGGGCUAAACCAAAUGAAAAUUACCCCUAUGUCUUUGGUUGGGGCGACCGCGGGGAAACACAAAACCCCCACGUGGAAUGGGACCACUCCCUCCUACAACUCAGAGCCUCCGCUCUAAUGGAACAGAAUUUCUGACCAGCAAGAUCCGGCAACGCCGAUCAACGAACCGAGUUACCCCAGGGAUAACAGCGCAAUCCCCUUUUAGAGUCCAUAUCGACAAGGGGGUUUACGACCUCGAUGUUGGAUCAGGACAUCCUAAUGGUGCAGCCGCUAUUAAGGGUUCGUUUGUUCAACGAUUAAAGUCCUACGUGAUCUGAGUUCAGACCGGAGUAAUCCAGGUCAGUUUCUAUCUAUGCUAUGAUUUUUUCUAGUACGAAAGGACCGAAAAAAAGAGGCCCAUGCUUCAAGUACGCCUCACCCCCACCUAAUGAAGACAACUAAAUAGGCAAAGGGCAUGCCCCCUUUUGCCUGAAAUUAGGCA